UACGUAGGGCGGCAAGCGUUAUCCGGAAUUAUUGGGCGUAAAGAGCUCGUAGGCGGUUUGUCGCGUCUGCCGUGAAAGUCCGGGGCUCAACUCCGGAUCUGCGGUGGGUACGGGCAGACUAGAGGUGGAUGUAGGGGAGACGUGGAAUUCCUGGUGGUAGCGGUGGAAAUGACGCAGAUAUCAGGAGGAACACCGAUGGCGAAGGCAGGUCUCUGGGCAUUAACUG
rnacentral:rRNA from 1 species